rnacentral:misc_RNA from 1 species
AAAAGGAGACGAAAAAGACCAGAGACAUCAGUCGAGUGAGCAUCUCCGACACGGCAACAACUGCAGCGCACUAUCUGUCACCAUCUGCCUUCUUCACCGUAUUGCCAGUUCGCAUCCAUGGUUAAUAAGGCGUCGUAUGCUGUUGGGUUUUGUAUCGUUGAUAGCUGGGUCGACCACUGGUGUACCGAUGUCUCCUGGGUAUGGCGAAUACCAAACCGCAACGCAUCCGCCUUACUACCCAAAAGCAACUUACGCAACGACCAGUUACUGCACCGAGGUCUACAAGUAUUACACUAUUAAGGCACCGGAGUUUUAUACCACAACUGACGCUGCCCCGAGCCACUACACUGACGUCCUGAAGUAUUACUCUGCCCCGAGUUACUACACCAAGGCGACGGAGCAGGACUACGCAUGCUGCCCCAUCCUACUACACCAAGGGUUCUAACUGCUACACCGAGGCUCCCGCUGAUUACUCCACCCAAACGGUCGAAUACUAUACCGAAGCGCCAAAGUACUAUUCUGCCCCGAUCUAUACAACCACAACUGAGGCGGCCAAGUAUUACGCAGUCCCGUCUUACUACACAGAAGCUGCUCUU